UACGAAGGGGGCAAGCGUUGUUCGGAAUCACUGGGCUUAAAGGGCGCGUAGGCGGGGUCAUAAGUCUGUGGUGAAAUCCUCCGGCUCAACCGGAGAACUGCCUCGGAUACUGUGGCUCUCGAGGGUGGUAGGGGUAUGCGGAACUAUCGGUGGAGCGGUGAAAUGCGUUGAUAUCGAUAGGAACUCCGGUGGCGAAGGCGGCAUACUGGACCACUUCUGACGCUGAGGCGCGAAAGCCAGGGGAGCAAACGGG
rnacentral:rRNA from 1 species